rnacentral:rRNA from 1 species
UGCGAAAACUUGUCAAUGCACGAAAGUGUGAACGGGCUACCCCGAGUGCCGUCCGCUGAGGAUGGCUUUUCUCUGCUGUAAGGAGGCGGAGGAAUAAGGAGAGGGCAAGUCUGGUGUCAGCCGCCGCGGUAAUACCAGCUCUCCGAGUGGUAGGGAUGAUUAUUGGGCUUAAAGCGUCCGUAGCCGGCCUCUCAAGUCUUUCGUUAAAUCCAGCGAUUCAAUCGUUGGACUGCGGGAGAUACUGUUAGGCUAGGGGGCGGGAGAAGCCGACGGUAUUCUUGGGGUAGGGGUAAAAUCCUAUAAUCCCAGGAAGACCACCAGUGGCGUAGGCGGUCGGCUAGCACGCGCUCGACGGUGAGGGACGAAAGCUGGGGGAGCGAACCG